rnacentral:rRNA from 1 species
CCUACGGGGGGCUGCAGUGGGGAAUUUUGGACAAUGGGCGAAAGCCUGAUCCAGCCAUGCCGCGUGCAGGAUGAAGGCCUUCGGGUUGUAAACUGCUUUUGUACGGAACGAAAAAGUUCUCUCUAAUACAGGGGGCGAAUGACGGUACCGUAAGAAUAAGCACCGGCUAACUACGUGCCAGCAGCCGCGGUAAUACGUAGGGUGCGAGCGUUAAUCGGAAUUACUGGGCGUAAAGCGUGCGCAGGCGGUUAUAUAAGACAGAUGUGAAAUCCCCGGGCUCAACCUGGGAACUGCAUUAGUGACUGUAUAGCUAGAGUGCGGCAGAGGGGGAUGGAAUUCCGCGUGUAGCAGUGAAAUGCGUAGAUAUGCGGAGGAACACCGAUGGCGAAGGCAAUCCCCUGGGCCUGCACUGACGCUCAUGCACGAAAGCGUGGGGAGCAAACAGGAUUAGAUACCCUGGUAGUC